CCUACGGGAGGCAGCAGUGGGGAAUAUUGCACAAUGGGGGAAACCCUGAUGCAGCGACGCCGCGUGAGUGAAGAAGUAUUUCGGUAUGUAAAGCUCUAUCAGCAGGGAAGAAAAUGACGGUACCUGAUUAAGAAGCCCCGGCUAACUACGUGCCAGCAGCCGCGGUAAUACGUAGGGGGCAAGCGUUAUCCGGAUUUACUGGGUGUAAAGGGAGCGUAGACGGCAGCACAAGUCUGGAGUGAAAUGCCGGGGCUUAACCCUGAAACUGCUUUUGAAACUGUGCAGCUUGAGUGCAGGAGAGGUAAGUGGAAUUCCUAGUGUAGCGGUGAAAUGCGUAGAUAUUAGGAGGAACACCAGUGGCGAAGGCGGCUUACUGGACUGUAACUGACGUUGAGGCUCGAAAGCGUGGGGAGCAAACAGGAUUAGAUACCCUUGUAGUC
rnacentral:rRNA from 1 species